GCCCUGGUAGCUUAACCUAAAGCACCGGUCUUGUAAGCCGAAGACUACAGCUUAAACCCUGU
rnacentral:tRNA from 1 species